GUCUUUUCCAACAUCAUCGAGAUCAUUGUGUUUCCCACCAGCACGAAUACAUUUCUGAGUAUUACAAGCUCGGGUAAGCUUGCUCAACGACGUGUUAGGAUCAACAGUGCCCAAGAAAAUGGGCUUGAACUGAUUCAUACCCGCAUUAGCAAAGAGAAGGGUCGGAUCGUUAACGGGCACAACAGGGCUAGACUUCCAGAAAACAUGAUUCUU
rnacentral:misc_RNA from 1 species